rnacentral:lncRNA from 1 species
UGGGAGGGGCCCCUGGCAGGGCCUGGCGGGGUGCAGGGGAAUCUUUGGAGGCUGCUCUCUUCUCACCCCGCCAAAGGACACCCUUCCAACUCUGCCUGGCUAUAACCAGGUAGCAGCUUCAUAUGUCAGGCCCCAUCUAGCUCCCAAAUCACCCCCGCUACUUCCGAGUUUCCCUGGUGCUCUCUGCUCCUUGGAUUAAGCAGGAGGGAGAAAUGGAGAAAGAGCCUUUUUUCUACAAACACUGACCCAACUUUGUCCCCAUACACCUUAAAGUCUGAACCUGAAGAGGCAGCUACAGGCUCUAACAGAAGGAAAAGGCUCAUUCUUCUCUCCCCGCUCAGAGCAUCAGCUACUUAAAUGGAGAUGUCCUCAAAGGAAAAUAUAAAACACAGAGACAAUGUCUCUGUAUGACCUGAGAUUCCAUAUAAGUGUCUGAGAGAAGUCCCUCCCCGCUCCCCAUCCCCCAACACACAUUCCCUCUCCUAAGUCUGCACUGACUCCCACUCAACCCUGGUGCCAUGGAACAGCCCCCUCCAGCCUCCACACUACCUGCUCUAGGCCGCACCUCCACUGGCAGCUGCUCUGGCCACGUGCCCUGGGCCUAUAACCUUCAAAGUCUGGUCUCUGGCAGGCUGUCACAUUUUAUUCAAAUGAUGUGUAGGCAUACUCUCUGCUCCUCCAAAAAGCAGUUGAUCAUCCAGUCUGUGUUUACUACAGGCCUACUAUGUGCAAGGCACUUGGCAAAGCAUCCCAAGGUGGGUCACCAAAUUUCAAGCUGGCA